AGACCCGAAACCCGGUGAUCUAGCCAUGGGCAGGUUGAAGGUUGGGUAACACUAACUGGAGGACCGAACCGACUAAUGUUGAAAAAUUAGCGGAUGACCUGUGGCUGGGGGUGAAAGGCCAAUCAAACCGGGAGAUAGCUGGUUCUCCCCGAAAGCUAUUUAGGUAGCGCCUCGUGAAUUCAUCUCCGGGGGUAGAGCACUGUUUCGGCUAGGGGGCCAUCCCGGCUUACCAACCCGAUGCAAACUGCGAAUACCGGAGAAUGUUAUCACGGGAGACACACGGCGGGUGCUAACGUCCGUCGUGAAGAGGGAAACAACCCAGACCGCCAGCUAAGGUCCCAAAGUCAUGGUUAAGUGGGAAACGAUGUGGGAAGGCCCAGACAGCCAGGAUGUUGGCUUAGAAGCAGCCAUCAUUUAAAGAAAGCGUAAUAGCUCACUGGUCGAGUCGGCCUGCGCGGAAGAUGUAACGGGGCUAAACCAUGCACCGAAGCUGCGGCAGCGACACUCAGGUGUUGUUGGGUAGGGGAGCGUUCUGUAAGCCUGCGAAGGUGGCCUGUGAGGGUUGCUGGAGGUAUCAGAAGUGCGAAUGCU
rnacentral:rRNA from 1 species